rnacentral:rRNA from 1 species
GACGAACGCUGGCGGCGUGCUUAACACAUGCAAGUCGAACGGAAAGGCCCUGCUUUUGUGGGGUGCUCGAGUGGCGAACGGGUGAGUAACACGUGAGUAACAUGCACUUGACUUUGGGAUAACUUCUGGAAACUGGGGCUAAUACCGGAUAGGAGCUCCUGCUGCAUGGGGGGGGUUGGAAAGUUUCGGCGGUGGGGGAUGGACUCGCGGCAUAUCAGCUUGUUGGUGGGGUAGUGGCUUACCAAGGCUUUGACGGGUAGCCGGCCUGAGAGGGUGACCGGCCACAUUGGGACUGAGAUACGGCCCAGACUCCUACGGGAGGCAGCAGUGGAGAAUAUUGCACAAUGGGCGGAAGCCUGAUGCAACAACGCCGCGUGCGGGAUGACGGCCUUCGGGUUGUAAACCGCUUUCGCCUGUGACGAAGCGUGAGUGACGGUAAUGGGUAAAGAAGCACCGGCUAACUACGUG